UAAUGAGAGCAACGUUUUGCUAAUCAGGUCACAUGAUUUCUUCAAAACUCCUGGAAAAUGUCAUGGCCUUGGGGAGAAUGAAAACCUUGUCAAACUGCAUCAACCUUUUACUUGUUCAUAUUAAUUAUAUUUUAAAGGAGGACUAGGGGGUGCCUAUACACAAUAUGAUUGGGCAAUAAAACUCAGAGGGCUGAGCUUGCUUCAUGCAGAUUUACGUCGUGUAGUCCUGCGCUAUGCUGCUGCAGGCCUAACAAAACCUUUACUCAGUCUGCGCUAUUGUGUAUAUUGAUUAAUUGCAGUUACUCAUUUUGAUAGAAAAUGUCUAAGUAGCUUAGUCCAGCGAGGUUUGAAUAUAAACGAAAUGUGAUAUAAUUCACAUUUUCUCACAUACAAAUGGGAUAUAGGUUUAAUGUACAAUAUUUCCGCUUAAUUUACACUUGCCAGAAGGACAGGGCGCAUAGUAGGCUUGAUCAACUCCGGUCCCCCAGGACCACCAACAGGCGCACCUGAUUCUACUUGUCAGGUCUGUUUAGCCUGCCAGAAGUUUGAGACUGUGGCCCUGGAGUUGAAGCUCAUCAAAGUUGUUUCACCAUGGCACAUGAUCGGUCCACAGAUGACGCAAUCGCCAGCACACUGCCCUAACCCAUCUGGACAAGAGGAAUAUCUAUUUAAGAAUGCUGUUUGUCGAUUACAGCUCAGCAUUUAACACCAUAGUACCCUACAAACUCGUCAUUAAGCUUGAGACCCUGGGUCUCGAACCCGCCCUGUGCAACUGGGUCCUGGACUUCCUGACGGGCCGCCCCCAGGUGGUGAGGGUACGUAACAACAUCUCCACCACGCUGAUCCUCAACACUGGGUCCCCACAAGGGUGCGUUCUCAGCCCUCUCCUGUACUCCCUGUUCACCCACGACUGCGUGGCCAUGCACGCCUCACAAUGUCAACAAAACAAAGGAGAUUAUCGUAGGCUUCAGGAAACAGCAGAGGGAGAACCCCCCCUAUCCACAUCGACGGGACAGUAGUGGAGAGGGAAGUACAUUUUAAGUUCCUCGGCGUACACAUCACGGACAACCUCAGGAGGCUGAAGAAAUUUGGCUUGUCGCCAAAAACACUCAAACUUUUACAGAUGCACAAUCGAGAGGAUCCUGUCGGGCUUGUAUCACCGCCUGGUAUGGCAGCUGCUCCGCCCAUAACCGGAAGUCUCUCCAGAGGGUAGUGAGGUCUGCACAACGCAUCACCGGGUGCAAACUACCUGACCUCCAGGACACCUACACCACCCGAUGUCACAGGAAGGCCAUAAAGAUCAUCAAGGACAACAACCACCCGAGCCACUGCCUGUUCACCCCGCUAUCAUCCAGAAGGCGAGCUCAGUACAGGUGCAUCAAAGCAGGGACCGAGAGACUGAAAAACAGCUUCUUUCUCAAGGCCAUCAGACUGUUAAACAGCCAUCACUAACAUGGAGUAGCUGCUGCCAACAUACUGACUCAACUCCAGCUCACUUUAAUAAUGGGAAUUGAUGGAAAUUGAUGUAAAAAAAUAAUCACUAGCCACUUUAAACAAUGCCACUUAAUAUAAUGUUUACAUACCCUACAUUACUCAUCUCAUAUGUAUAUACUACACUCGAUACCAUCUACUGCAUCUUGCCUAUGCCGUCCUGUACCAUCUCUCAUUCAUAUCUUUAUGUACAUAUUCUUUAUCCCUUUACACGUGUGUGUGUGUGUGUGUGUGUAUAUAUAAGGUUGUGGAAUUGUUAGGUUAUAUUACUCGUUGGUUAUUACUGCAUUGUUAGAACUAGACGGACAAGCAUUUCGCUACAAUCGCAUUAACAUCUGCUAACCAUGUGUAUGUGACAAAUCAGAUUUGAUAUAAGGUAGGCUAUACCUUCCAAAAGUGCUAAAGUACAUAUCCCAUUUAUAACACUGCACUAAUCAUCACAUUUUCUCACAGUAAAGUGUAACCUGUGUGUUUGUUUCCGUCUGUCUCCUACCCUGUUCCCUGUAACUCUGCUCCUGUUCUGCAUGAGCCAGGGCUUCUGCCCAACACCAGACGUGGAUCCACCUGCCUAGUGAAAUAGAACAUAUAUUUAAACUGAUGUCCAGUUACCAACCACCCUACAACCUGCAUUACAUCAGCUACUGUUCUCAUUAUCAGAUAAGGAAGUAGUUGUGGACAGGUGCUUUUAUACUGAUAAGUUCAAACAGGUGCCAUUAAUACAGGUAACGAGUGGAGGACAGAGGAGCCUCUUAAAAAGAAGUUACAGGUCUGUGAGUGCCAGAAAUCUUGCUUGUUUGUAGGUGACCAAAUACUUAUUUUCCACCAUAAUUUGCAAAUAAAUUCAUUAAAUCCUACAAUGUGAUUUUCUGGAUUUUUCUCUUCUCAUUUUGUCUGUCAUAGUUGAAGUGUACCUAUGAUGAAAAUGACAGGCCUCAUCUUUUUAAGUGGGAGAACUUGCACAAUUGGUGGCUGACUAAAUACUUUUUUGCCCCACUGUAUGUAAAAUUGUGCGAUUCUAUGAUUUGUUGUAAAAAAGAUUGGUCAAAUUGUGAGUAUGCAUUGCUUACUAGUUGCCUACUAAUUGGUUGAUUUCAUUGGAAACACUUAUCUUUCGAUCUGUUUUACUACAAAACAUAAACGUGCCAUUUUGACAUAUGUUGUUGAUGUUGGACUGAUGCUGGAAAUGAUGAAUAUAAGUUGCAUUUUUAUAAAUGUCUCUUUUAAUUGUUACAACCACACACACAUGGACAUAGUUGCUUCCAUUGAAUGGUUUUAUAUCGGUGUGUUUUUGUCAAUGGAUGUACAACACUUCAGUUAGGAACAGCAUGUGAAAAUCUGUCAACAAAACAACUCUUUGCUUCUUCUCUUGCCAAGGCAAAAGGUUGAGAAGGACCGCCUUUAAAAAAAACUUACAGCAUAUUGAUGUCUGGCAUCAUUAAAGUGAAUACUUAUUUUAUCAAA